CCCUUAGAUGUUCUGGGCUGCACGCGUGCUACACUGAUAUUGCCAAUAUGUCAUUCUUAUCCGAAAUGGAUUGGGUAAUCAAGUAAUGAAAUUUCAUGCUUGGAAUCGGUAAUUGCAAUUUUAUCGUGAACGAGGAAUUCCUAGUAAGCACUAGUCAUCAGCUAAUGUUGAUUAUGUCCCUGCCCUUUGUACACACCGCCCGUCGCUACUACUGAUUGGGUGUUCAUGUGAGAUGCUUAGACCCUUGUUGCAUGGUUCAUUAUUGUGCUCCGAAAGGAAAAAGUUUCAAGCUUGAGUGUCUAGAGGAAGUAAAAGUCGUAACA
rnacentral:rRNA from 1 species